rnacentral:rRNA from 1 species
UUGGGAAGAGAAAUUGAUCCUGGCUCAGGACGAACGCUGGCGGCGUGCCUAAUACAUGCAAGUCGAGCGGACAGAAGGGAGCUUGCUCCCGGAUGUUAGCGGCGGACGGGUGAGUAACACGUGGGUAACCUGCCUGUAAGACUGGGAUAACUCCGGGAAACCGGAGCUAAUACCGGAUAGUUCCUUGAACCGCAUGGUUCAAGGAUGAAAGACGGUUUCGGCUGUCACUUACAGAUGGACCCGCGGCGCAUUAGCUAGUUGGUGGGGUAAUGGCUCACCAAGGCGACGAUGCGUAGCCGACCUGAGAGGGUGAUCGGCCACACUGGGACUGAGACACGGCCCAGACUCCUACGGGAGGCAGCAGUAGGGAAUCUUCCGCAAUGGACGAAAGUCUGACGGAGCAACGCCGCGUGAGUGAUGAAGGUUUUCGGAUCGUAAAGCUCUGUUGUUAGGGAAGAACAAAUUCGAGAGUAACUGCUCGCACCUUGACGGUACCUAACCAGAAACCAGGGCUAUCCU